rnacentral:misc_RNA from 1 species
AACAUCACAAACAACAAAGAUCCAUAGAGGAUAAGAGAUAGUAUA